rnacentral:lncRNA from 1 species
UUCAGGCGUCAACAGCAGGGAGAACCACAAACCACAAACUUCUUUUGCACUGGGAAAGAUGUUGCCGUGGGAACAGGGCUGCUGGCCAUUUGGCCAUCUCACUCAUCUCUGGAGGAAUGCAGGUGAGGAAGUCAAGUUGAAUCUACUGUAAUCUGGCCCCUGUCAUCUGAGUCUUUAAAAAAAGGGGGAUGAGGCCAUGCAUCUCAGAAUUCCUUAUUCAGUAAAUCUGGACUAGGACCUA